rnacentral:misc_RNA from 1 species
GAAGAAACAAAAGAUCUUUAAGUGAUUUUUUUUAUUAUUAUUUAGAUUAGGAAUGAGUUUUCUAAUUCGAUUUUGACCAAUAGGAUAAAAUUGCAAAUAAUUUGUCAACAUAGAGUAAAAUUGAUAAUGAAAUACUAUUUUUAUUCAAUUUUGGCCUAUUGGGUAAAACUACAACUAAUUUGUCAAAUUAGGGUAAAUUUGACAAAAUGAAAAGGUUUGGAUAAAAUUGCAUAUACGUGAUUUGGGCUU